ACCACAAUGAAACUCUGACAGCUGAAAUGACUGAACCUCUUUCUUAUUUCUUCAUUGAAUCAUAGCUUUUUCUCCUUUCUCAAUUCUAAGUCACCAAGGGAAUUUUUGCUGAAAUACUGUAUUAAAGACAUUCAUUAUUUGCUAAGAAUGUUGUUAUACUUUGAGAUGUGACAUUGUUGUGUUUUACUAUUUGUAGAAGAAAAUAUAUGGCAAAAUACGAUCUUUAUUGACUCCACGUAGGCGAUCCCUGCACUAUGGUUUGAUUUUUACUGUGCCUAAGGAAUACAAAGUAGAAGGAGGUCAUAAUGUGAUUCAGUUGGAUUGAUACCACAGCAUAGUUCAGGUUCAGUGUUCUUAUCAGAAAAGCUAAAGCUUUAAGCCAAAGCAGCAAUAAAAUUAAUAAUACACUCACAAUUACUAACACACUAAUCUUACUUUCAUGAAUCAAAGAGUGUGUGUCAGACUUGAUAUUUAUAAAUACCUAAGUGAUUUCUUCAGCUCCAUGUAGCAAACACCAAGUACUUGUGUUUUCUGGUGAAGUAAAUAUUACAAACAGAAAAGCAGAUGUUAAUAACAGUAAAGAUUUCAUAUCAGAAAAGCAUUUUCAAAGUCCCUUUGACUUCAUAGAGCCCUAAGUGACUGUUGCAACUUAAAAUUUUAAGGAUGUAUGUUUUAGCAAAGACAGCACCACAAUUCAUUAAGGUAGAUGUCAGAAAACUGGAGACCUAAUGUUUAUUUUGCUGCUUUGUUGUGGUUGUUGUUUGCUGGAGAUUCUUUGGCUCAGGACACUACAGCUUUUAGCAAUAUGCACUGGGAAAUGCAGCAGUUCAGAGAUAUUUGGACCCUGUGAAGCACAACAGAAUACCUGGUCGGAGGUGGUAUGCUUUCAUCCCAGGCUGCCUGGCUGCUGCUGGACUCUCAUCCCUUUAUGGAGAGAGGCUCGCCCAGGCCAUCUCCUUGUGUGCUCUGAGAGGCACUUGGACCCCUGUCUCCAUAGGUUCUCUCUUCAGAGCCACCUUUAUGUAUCAGAAGUUUGUGUAUCUGAGGAUUGCUGUUCAGGAUAAAUGCCUCCUCGAAAGGAAACUAAGGUCAACUGUGGUGCAAGAAUGAGUAGAAGAAGAGCUCUUCACUUGUACAGGACUUGAUGAUCACCAUCAUCACCAUUCUGUUGUACUUAUGGGUAAAUAAACGCACGUGUCCUGUGUGUGCAGGGAGUUUCUGCUGAAUAAAUCAUGCCCUGGACUUGCAUCGCUAGAGCAAAGACUGGAGAAAAAUGGAUGAUUCUGGUCACUGGCUGGUAAUAGAGACCCUCUUCCCUCCACACUUGGGUUUCAAUGAGAUUUGACUUGGGAGCCAGAAACGGCAACAGGGAGCAAAGAAAAGACUAGUGUCUAAGUGUGGGAGAUUAUGGUAGAAAAAUACCAUUUUCUGUACCUCAUGUUGUAAAAGUGAACUCAAAUUUGAUAGACCUAUGUGCAGGCUUACAUGCGUGCAUGAAUUCCCAGAGAUUUCAAUAAAUGAUUUUGGAUCUGAUGGUUGAUAAAAGGCUUCAAUGCUAUGUAAGAGAGUAACAGCUCCAAACAAUCAGCUGGGAGCCAUGUGUAUGUUUGAGAAUAAGGAAGAGGUUUUUAACAGGAAAGGUCAUGGUGAAACACGUAGCUGAAGAGACAAACCUUUAGAUGGAAGUAUUGAAGUAAAGCACGUUUCAGACCGGGACUGCAUGGGCUUGUGUUCCACACUUGUGUUGACAUACAAAUGAAUUUUGGGUAUAGUUUAGAAAACUGUAUUCAUUACCCUUUUUUUUUUCUGUUUUUCUGGAAGACAUUAUUUUUGCCUUUUAAAACUGAGCAGAUGCCACAGCAUGCUGCAGAAGACAUUUAGAGACCAACAUUCUAAGGAAGGGUGUUUUUUUUAAACUUGGAAGUAGCCUUGCGUGCCUUCUGCAUGAGCUAGAUGGCAUGUUGGUUACAAAAAAGUUUUGCUACUUGACUUUAAACUUUCUUCAUCUGUAAUCUUUUUAAUCUUUAAACUUUCCUUUAGCAUUGCUGUGAUAGUUGGUUUCCUUCACAUUUGGUGAAUUUAGUCUUAGAAAUAAACAUUGUUUUGUAUACA